AAGUCUCGUCGUUGUCUUCAAUAUGAAAUGAAAUUACACGUAAUUAGAAACAAUCUUCUUCCUGUAUUUUAGAUUAUUACAGAAACCAAUUUUCAGAGAUCGUGACUCGUGACGGAGAGGGAGAGAGAGAGAACGUUAAGAUGUGAAUUGUGACGUGAAAGAUACUGGUUGAAAUAUAUUGAAGAAAAGCAUCCAUAAACCCCA